GCACACUAAAACCAGCCUGAAUUAAUUAUGUUUCAGUUGUUCUCUGUUUUCGAGGCAUGCCUGGAAUGUUCUACCUUCUUAUCUCCAAAGAUCUUGGAGAUAUUCAAGUUCCUGGUGCCUUUCGUAACAAACGCAUGAAGACGGAGGCACAGAAAAGUCAUUGCCCAAGGCCGGGAGUGAAGUCAGAAUUCCAACCCCGGGAUUCCCACGUAAGAGCUUGCGCUCCUACCCCCUGCCACACCUGCACCUGACCACCUCUCCCGGGGAUGGAGGACCUGGACAGGACCGGGCGACUGUGUGCACGGAAUCCCUCCGCAGACGCAUUGAUCUGUGACAAGAGGGACGCCUGAACAUCUGGUCUUCCUUUUUUGUUUUCACGGAGGAGUUUCUCCACGGCCGGGGUGCUCCAGCAGAUGCCUGAUGGGUGUUCCUGAAGGGCCAGACCCCCGAGGGUGGGGGAGUCCGGUCCAGCUCAAGUAAACAUGUGCGAGCGGUGUUCUUCACCCCUGCAGCCUUCCGGAGCUGGUCAGUGCCGGUCAGAAGCUGUAGCUACCAUCAUGUCAAAGUCCUGAUGAGAGUUCAUGAUCUUUGAAGAGGUGUGCACCAACUGUAACGUGCGCUGGAAAUACCUGUGUCUCCCCUGGCGAGAGCGUCAGACGCCCUACUGUUGCUGCUGCAGUGUGUCUCCUCUGCUCCUAAGGGAAGGAAAUGCCUAAUUUCAGCCUGAGGUUACUGAAAAGAAGUAUUUUUUUUUCUUAUCCAAGAUCAAUGACCUUUGAAUUCUUCUCUCCAAACAGUCCAUCUCCCUAGGCUAAAAACAAGCAAACAAACAACACUUGCUCCAAGAGCUUAAAUUAACAAUUUACUGCAAGAGGGGCGCCUGGGUGGCUCAUUUGGUUAAGCAUCUGCCUUCGUCUGCUCAGGUCAUGAUCCCAGGUCCUGGGAUCCAGUCCCACAUGGGGCUCCUU